rnacentral:rRNA from 1 species
AGAUUGAACGCUGGCGGCAUGCCUUACACAUGCAAGUCGAACGCGAAAGGGGGGCAACCCCCGAGUAGAGUGGCGAACGGGUGAGUAAUACAUCGGAACGUAUCCAGUAGCGGGGGAUAACCUCUCGAAAGAGAGGCUAAUACCGCAUACGACCUACGGGUGAAAGAGGGGGAUCGCAAGACCUCUCACUAUUGGAGCGGCCGAUGUCGGAUUAGCUAGUUGGCGGGGUAACGGCCCACCAAGGCUACGAUCCGUAGCUGGUCUGAGAGGACGACCAGCCACACUGGAACCGAGACACGGUCCAGACUCCUACGGAGGCAGCAGUGGGGAAUUUUGGACAAUGGGCGCAAGCCUGAUCCAGCCAUGCCGCGUGAGUGAAGAAGGGCC